UUGCUCUGGAGUUUGUUUGACAGAGACAUUGAAUCACAGGGGACGCACCAAGGACAACUGGGCUCAGCAGCCUCCCAGCAAACACAGCUGGAAACCAGACUGGGACUAAUCACAUCCUCCCAGACCGACAUAGGCACUUUACAGGUGAACGAAGCCAGAUAUCAGUCAUUGAUCUCAUAACUUCAUUAGUGGUUCAUCAAACGUGUUGCAACAGCAGCUGUUUGACCAGCGCCAGCUACUACCACUGAGGGAAGUUUGUUUAUUAAGUCCUCUGACCUUGCUGCCCUGUUUACGCCUCCGAGCUUCCCGGACCUCUUCACAACACAGCAAGGAGCGUGCCAAGUGGCCCUGUGGCUGGAGCCAGCACAAACACGCUAUCUGAAGGGAACGUGGGACCAUCGUCAUUCAGCGCCUGCACUUCAGAUUUCCUCAUGCUAUUUCAAAAUUUGUGCGUGGGGCGAUCCGUCAGCUUUCUCUGAAUAACAAACAGGAUCUGAUCUUGAUAUGGGCUGUUGAAUGUUAGGAGCAGAAAAUGAUUUUGGUGGGGAAAAGCAUGACUAUCCGAAAGUUAAACAGGAAGUAAACUCCAAACUCAUCUCUCUAACUCUGACUCGCGGAUGUCGUCCUGCAACAGCUCACAUCUUGAGCGAUUUCAGAGCAUGAGCGAGACUUGUGUUUGCUGGUUGAAACAGAUGGAAUUAUUUACCAAACGGGUCUAUCUCCAUAACGUUUCUGUAAUAUAGUCCAACACCUACAAUCACAACCUCAGCCUGUAAGUGACAGCAGCAAGUGCUUAAUGAGCGGGAAGAUGCUAAAAUGUUCAGUAGAUCGGCGGGAAAGUGACACGUUGUUAUAAUAAGAUAUCGAGCAAACCUCUAAAAAGUUAAGCAUUGCCUCCUAGAUAAUACAUCUCAUGUGAAAAAGCUGAAAUAAAAUAUGAAUCCGGGA